rnacentral:rRNA from 1 species
UACGGAGGGGGCUAGCGUUGUUCGGAAUUACUGGGCGUAAAGCGCACGUAGGCGGCUUUGUAAGUUAGGGGUGAAAGCCCGGAGCUCAACUCCGGAAUUGCCUUUAAGACUGCAUCGCUUGAAUCCAGGAGAGGUGAGUGGAAUUCCGAGUGUAGAGGUGAAAUUCGUAGAUAUUCGGAAGAACACCAGUGGCGAAGGCGGCUCACUGGACUGGUAUUGACGCUGAGGUGCGAAAGCGUGGGGAGCAAACAGG